rnacentral:misc_RNA from 1 species
UCCGGUUUGUCACCGGCAGUCUGGCGUGAGUCCUCAACUUAAUGUUAGCAACACACCACGGGGGUUGCGCUCGUUGCGGGACUUAACCCAACAUCUCACGACACGAGCUGACGACAGCCAUGCAGCACCUGUGCAGGAGUCCCGAAGGAGGCCCGUGGUUUCUCACGGGUUUAACCAGCAUGUCAAGCCCAGGUAAGGUUCUUCGCGUUGCAUCGAAUUAAGCCACAUGCUCCGCCGCUUGUGCGGGUCCCCGUCAAUUCCUUUGAGUUUUAGCCUUGCGGCCGUACUCCCCAGGCGGGGCGCUUAAUGCGUUAGCUGCGGCACGGAGGACGUGGAAAGUCCCCCACACCUAGCGCCCAACGUUUACGGCGUGGACUAC